rnacentral:misc_RNA from 1 species
GGUUGGUGGCAUUUGCUAGACCCCUGAGCCAAUACUAAAUGGCUGAUCCGUAAAGGAUGAGUGAGAGGCCGACGAGUUUUGCCACUGCCACUCUUUGUUGGAUUCUAAGAUGAUCUAUUGCUACUUCAACUUUCUUGACCAGAGGUUGUUUGUGCUUCGCUUCAUGAUGGAACAUCACCCAGCCUUUUUGCUCCUCUGGGGAUGCUUUGAUAGGGGACUCCUUAAUCCAACUCUUUGCCUUACAUGUUCAUCUUGUGCUACUCGGUGAGCAAGAUUCCCCGACAACUGUUUCCAAUGGCGGUGCCUCACUGCUUGACUGCGGCAGUCUUCUCUGUAGUUGUCUAUCUCCAGACCUAGCUAUGGUUCCUUGAGGCUCGGGGCCUCUAUUUUUCUUCAAGGCG